GCCGGGCAUGGUGGCUCAUGCCUGUAAUCUCAGCACUUUGGGAGGCUGAGGCAGGUGGAUCACCUGUGGUCAGGAGUUCAAGACCAGCCUGGCCAACAUGGUGAAACCCUGUCUCUA
rnacentral:SRP_RNA from 1 species